rnacentral:tRNA from 1 species
GCGGACAUGGCGGAAUUGGCAGACGCGCUAGAUUCAGGUUCUAGUGGGCUUACGCUCGUGGAGGUUCAAGUCCUCUUGUCCGCACCA